GUGGGGAAUAUUGCGCAAUGGGCGAAAGCCUGACGCAGCGACGCCGCGUGAGGGAUGAAGGUCUUCGGAUCGUAAACCUCUGUCAGAAGGGAAAAAGGUGCAGGGUGCCAAUCAGCCCUGCAUUGAUGGUACCUUCAGAGGAAGCACCGGCUAACUCCGUGCCAGCAGCCGCGGUAAUACGGAGGGUGCAAGCGUUAAUCGGAAUUACUGGGCGUAAAGCGCACGUAGGUUGUCCUGUAAGUCAGGGGUGAAAGCCCGCGGCUCAACUGCGGAACUGCCCUUGAUACUGCAGGACUCGGAUCCGGGAGAGGUCAGCGGAAUUCCAGGUGUAGGAGUGAAAUCCGUAGAUAUCUGGAGGAACAUCAGUGGCGAAGGCGGCUGACUGGACCGGCAUUGACGCUGAGGUGCGAAAGCGUGGGUAGCAAACAGG
rnacentral:rRNA from 1 species